GACGUAGGGCGCGAGCGUUGUCCGGAUUUAUUGGGCGUAAAGAGCUUGUAGGCGGCUUGUCGCGUCGUCUGUGAAAUCCCGCGGCUCAACUGCGGGCUGGCAGUCGAUACGGGCAGGCUGGAGUUCGGUAGGGGAGACUGGAAUUCCUGGUGUAGCGGUGAAAUGCGCAGAUAUCAGGAGGAACACCGGUGGCGAAGGCGGGUCUCUGGGCCGAUACUGACGCUGAGGAGCGAAAGCGUGGGGAGCGAACAGG
rnacentral:rRNA from 1 species